CCCAGUUCGGAUUGUAGUCUGNAACCCGACUACAUGAAGCUGGAAUCGCUAGUAAUCGCAGGUCAGCAUACUGCGGUGAAUACGUUCCCGGGUCUUGUACACACCGCCCGUCACACCAUGGGAGCCGGAAAUGCCCGAAGCCAGUGACCCAACCUUAGGGAGGGAGCUGUCGAAGGUGGAGCCGGUAACUGGGGUGAAGUCGUAACAAGGUAGC
rnacentral:rRNA from 1 species